AACGAACGCUGGCGGCAGGCUUAACACAUGCAAGUCGAGCGCCCCGCAAGGGGAGCGGCAGACGGGUGAGUAACGCGUGGGAACAUACCCUUUAGUACGGAAUAGCCUCGGGAAACUGGGAUUAAUACCGUAUACGCCUACGGGGAAGGAUUAUCGCUAAAGGAUUGGCCCGCGUUGGAUUAGCUAGUUGGUGAGGUAAUGGCUCACCAAGGCGACGAUCUAUAGCUGGUCUGAGAGGAUGAUCAGCCACACUGGGACUGAGACACGGCCCAGACUCCUACGGGAGGCAGCAGUGGGGAAUAUUGGACAAUGGGCGAAAGCCUGAUCCAGCCAUGCCGCGUGAGUGAUGAAGGCCCUAGGGUUGUAAAGCUCUUUCGCUAGAGAAGAUAAUGACGGUAUCUAGUAAAGAAGCCCCAGCUAACUUCGUG
rnacentral:rRNA from 1 species